AUUGUCCACCGACUGUGACUGUGAUGGCGAGAAUUUCACCAGCAACAACCGGUAGAUGGCCGAAUGGGUUGUUUUUCAUGUGAUGGCUGCUCGACCGGUGGAGGGGGGACGAACACGAACAUCAGAGGCUGGCAAUCAAGGAGUGAUGCAGCAGAUCAGUGGCGACAUCCAGCGGGACAUCCAAGGAGUACAGUGGAACCAGCCAUGUAAUCAGCAACAGCACUGGCACUUGGGUGGCCAGCACCAGCUGCUGCAUUGACUGCAGUUGCAUCCACAACUGCAAUGGAGAUGGACAUCGACAUCUUCAUCUUCAUCAGCGGAGGCGGAGGCGGCGUCCAGAGUGAAGUUGCCAGCCCGGAGACUGGUAUGAGGCGCCAGCAGUGCAAUAUGCACCACCAACACCAGCAUCGGCAACAGGAUCAUCGGCGUCAUCAACAUCAGUGGAAAUGGCGCAGACAUCAAGUGGCUUCAGCAUCAUUAGCUCUGGUGCGAGCAAAUGCAAAAUGUCGUGUCAUGGGCAAAUGCAUGCAGCCUGUCAUCUAGCUGCAAGCCCAUACACAUUGAAUGGCCAAUUGUCGCCCACAAUAAGACGACAAGUAUCGAGAGUCUCUGUCUGCACCCACAAUGACAGCCUGCCGGUCAUCAAUAUGGACACGUAGCAGGGAGUGCAGAGCAAUUACUAUUCGAUUGAUCAGUCAUCAUCUUCGCCGCAGAAGCAGCAUACUGGACACCAUUGACGCCAACAACAACAUUUUCACCAUGCGCAAUUGCGACAAGAGUGCGUUAGAUAAUAAGGAGGAGUGGAUUGCUACUGGGUGAGUAUUGAUAUUAUUAUUAUUAUUGUUAAGUGAAGUGGGUGAGUGUAGAAAAUUAUAGUAGUUGAAUUAGGUUUGUAUAGGCUAUAAGAACAGGUAGUCAUUAUAUAUUUGGGGUCUUAUUUGCGAUUUGUUGCCUGCUACUGCUAAUGCUGGCAGACAAGCAGGUUGUUAGCGCGGACAUCAUAUCUAUUAGACGAUCCAGCUUGUUGACGAUAGCCUUGUUGAUGGCUGAAUUAGCAUUCUCAAUUGAAUUUGAAUUUG
rnacentral:sRNA from 1 species